AGCGGCGAAAGGGUGAGUAACACGUGGCUACCUACCUCAAAGUGGGGGAUAACCCCGAGAAAUCGGAGCUAAUACCGCAUGUGGUCGGGAGACCAAAGCUGGGGAUCCGUAAGGACCUGGCGCUAUGAGAUGGGGCUGCGGCCUAUCAGCUAGUUGGUGUGGUAACGGCACACCAAGGCAAUGACGGGUAGCUGGUCUGAGAGGACGACCAGCCACACUGGAACUGAGACACGGUCCAGACACCUACGGGUGGCAGCAGUCGAGGAUUUUUCACAAUGGGGGAAACCCUGAUGGAGCGACGCCGCGUGGGGGAUGAAGGUCUUCGGAUUGUAAACCCCUGUCAUCCGGGAACAAUGGUUGCGACCUAACAUGUCGCAAUUUGAUAGUACCGGAAGAGGAAGCCGUGGCUAACUCUGUGCCAGCAGCCGCGGUAAUACAGAGACGGCAAGCGUUGCUCGGAUUCAUUGGGCGUAAAGGGUCCGCAGGCGGU
rnacentral:rRNA from 1 species